UGGGAAACAAACCCAAUUAAUUGGGAGCGAUCACAAGGAACGAUGACCUUGUACGCGGUCGUGGUGGUCUCCUAUUUUAGUCUCUCAAUUAAUUCAUUUUUAUUUUUAUUAUUAUAAUUUAUUAUCUGUUUUUUUUUUUGGCCCUAUGCAUUGUUUUCGAAGUUAUCGAGUGAGUGUUCACAAAACGCUCGAAGUCGGCAGCAGUUGCGGCGACGUGGACGACAAUAGUGCAAAAUUGAGAUCCGGAAAGCUCCACGCAUGGAAACCACUAGGUCCCAAGAUCCAGCGUCACUCCACAAACGCGGCAACUAACAGGAGAGAAGAAGAAGAGGCCGGACAGACCUUCCAAGCAAGGAGGAGGAGGAAGGUCUCAAGCCCCCACGCGCCCCGAUCCACGUAAUCGCCGUUGAACACGAAGAUCCGG